GAUGAACGCUGGCGGCGUGCCUAAUACAUGCAAGUCGAGCGAACAGAUAAGGAGCUUGCUCCUUUGACGUUAGCGGCGGACGGGUGAGUAACACGUGGGUAACCUACCUAUAAGACUGGGAUAACUUCGGGAAACCGGAGCUAAUACCGGAUAACAUUUGGAACCGCAUGGUUCUAAAGUGAAAGAUGGUUUUGCUAUCACUUAUAGAUGGACCCGCGCCGAAUUAGCUAGUUGGUAAGGUAACGGCUUACCAAGGCGACGAUACGUAGCCGACCUGAGAGGGUGAUCGGCCACACUGGAACUGAGACACGGUCCAGACUCCUACGGGAGGCAGCAGUAGGGAAUCUUCCGCAAUGGGCGAAAGCCUGACGGAGCAACGCCGCGUGAGUGAUGAAGGGUUUCGGCUCGUAAAACUCUGUUAUUAGGGAAGAACAAACGUGUAAGUAACUGUGCGCGUCUUGACGGUACCUAAUCAGAAAGCCACGGCUAACUACGUGCCAGCAGCCGCCGUAA
rnacentral:rRNA from 1 species